rnacentral:rRNA from 1 species
UACGUAGGGUGCGAGCGUUGUCCGGAAUUACUGGGCGUAAAGAGCUCGUAGGUGGUUUGUCGCGUUGUUCGUGAAAACUCACAGCUCAACUGUGGGCGUGCGGGCGAUACGGGCAGACUGGAGUACUGCAGGGGAGACUGGAAUUCCUGGUGUAGCGGUGGAAUGCGCAGAUAUCAGGAGGAACACCAAUGGCGAAGGCAGCUCGCUGGAACGGUACUGACGCU